rnacentral:rRNA from 1 species
CCUACGGGGGGCUGCAGUGGGGAAUAUUGGACAAUGGGGGGAACCCUGAUCCAGCCAUGCCGCGUGUGUGAAGAAGGCCCUCGGGUUGUAAAGCACUUUCAGUGAGGAAGAACGCCUGGUGGUUAAUACCCAUCAGGAAAGACAUCACUCACAGAAGAAGCACCGGCUAACUCCGUGCCAGCAGCCGCGGUAAUACGGAGGGUGCGAGCGUUAAUCGGAAUUACUGGGCGUAAAGUGCGCGUAGGUGGCUUGAUAAGCCGGUUGUGAAAGCCCCGGGCUCAACCUGGGAACGGCAUCCGGAACUGUCAAGCUAGAGUGCAGGAGAGGAAGGUAGAAUUCCCGGUGUAGCGGUGAAAUGCGUAGAGAUCGGGAGGAAUACCAGUGGCGAAGGCGGCCUUCUGGACUGACACUGACACUGAGGUGCGAAAGCGUGGGUAGCAAACAGGAUUAGAUACCCGGGUAGUC